GUUGCCGGGGACGACGGGCGUCUCGGCGGUGAGGUCGGAGCGGCAGAGCUGGAUGCACUCCUGCUGGAGGAGACGAGUCAGAGCAAGAGAAGAAAGAAAAGAGUUCGGCUCCCGGCAGCUCAGAUGUUCCCAGCACUGACCGACCGCUCCUCUGGCCACGCCCACAACCAGCACGGCAGCCAAUAGCCACGCAGGACACAUUCUCCUGAACCUCGGCCAAUCAGAGACGAGGACACAAAGACACGUCGCACAUGAAGACGGCUCUGCGUGUAGUUCCUGCUGAUGGCCACCAGAG